rnacentral:rRNA from 1 species
UACAGAGGUCUCAAGCGUUGUUCGGAUUCAUUGGGCGUAAAGGGUGCGUAGGCGGCGGAGUAAGUUGGGUGUGAAAUCCCGAGGCUCAACCUCGGAAUUGCAUUCAAUACUGCUUCGCUCGAGUACUGGAGAGGAGGCUGGAAUUUACGGUGUAGCAGUGAAAUGCGUAGAUAUCGUAAGGAAGGCCGGUGGCGAAAGCGAGCCUCUGGACAGUUACUGACGCUGAUGCACGAAGGCCAGGGGAGCAAACGGG